rnacentral:rRNA from 1 species
CCUACGGGAGGCAGCAGUGGGGAAUAUUGCACAAUGGGGGAAACCCUGAUGCAGCGACGCCGCGUGAGUGAAUAAGUAUUUCGGUAUUGAAAACUCUGUCAGCAGGGGAGAAAAUGACGGUACCUGAACAAGAAGCCGCGGCUAACUACGUUCCAGCAGCCGCGGUAAUACGUAGGGGGCAAGCGUUAUCCGGGUUUACUGGGUGUAAAGGGUGCGUAGACGGCAGGGAAAGUCUGGAGUGAAAGGCGGGGGCUCAACCCCCGGACUGCACAGGAAACUGCCAGUCUGGAGUGAAGGAGAGGUAAGGGGAAUUCCUGGUGUAGCGGUGAAAUGCGUAGAUAUUAGGAGGAACACCAGUGGCGAAGGCGGCUUACUGGACUGUAACUGACGUUGAGGCUCGAAAGCGAGGGGAGCAAAAGGGAUUAGAUACCCUAGUAGUC